GACGAACGCUGGCGGCGUGCUUAACACAUGCAAGUCGAACGGAAAGGCCCUGCUUUUGUGGGGUGCUCGAGUGGCGAACGGGUGAGUAACACGUGAGUAACCUGCCCUUGACUUUGGGAUAACUUCAGGAAACUGGGGCUAAUACCGGAUAGGAGCUCCUGCUGCAUGGUGGGGGUUGGAAAGUUUCGGCGGUUGGGGAUGGACUCGCGGCUUAUCAGCUUGUUGGUGGGGUAGUGGCUUACCAAGGCUUUGACGGGUAGCCGGCCUGAGAGGGUGACCGGCCACAUUGGGACUGAGAUACGGCCCAGACUCCUACGGGAGGCAGCAGUGGGGAAUAUUGCACAGUGGGCGGAAGCCUGAUGCAGCGACGCCGCGUGCGGGAUGACGGCCUUCGGGUUGUAAACCGCUUUCGCCUGUGACGAAGCGUGAGUGACGGUAAUGGGUAAAGAAGCACCGGCUAACUACGUG
rnacentral:rRNA from 1 species